GGGGUGCAAUUGGGGAGCGCUUCCUUACCCCUUUUCUUGAAAGAGGGAAGAGGUCACAGGUUCAAUCCCUGUAGCGCCCG
rnacentral:tRNA from 1 species